ensembl:lncRNA
GCUGGAGUGGAGGUUUGGAUAAAACAGACAGGAAACAGCUUCUGAAUACUGGAUUCAAGCUAAUAUGACAUCUUAGAAUUUAUCAGGUCUCACUUGGGUCAAGAAAACUGUGCUCUUUACUAAGUUCCUAUCAGUUGUAGGAACAAUUUAGACCAGGAUAAUCUGAAAACAAGCUACAUUGCAAAGAAUGAUAAAGGGCAUCCAAUGAUGCAAAUUCCUAGAGGGCCAGAGUUCCAGAGUGAGUGUGGACAUAAGCAAACCAAACAAACCCUGAGAGAAUAAUUGAGAGAUGGAAGAUGAUAAACAAAUUAAAAAUGCUGAAAGACAAAGACAGAUGAUGAUUUGUGAAAUACAUAAAUUCUAUGCAAGAUUUCACAUGGAUUAGGACAGAAGAGCUCGAGUGUGACUAUAAGAAGAAAAAAUCUACAGAGGAUAUAGUGCUGAAAAACAUUGGAAUUCCAGCUAUCCACAAUGAGAAGAAGUUGUUGAACAUCCAGUCCACAGCCUGGAAAGGAUAUACUUUAGGAGGAGGAUGCCACUGGGCCACAACCAAAUAAAGCCUUAAGCCAUUCCUCAAACAGGAUCAAGCUGAUCCUCCAUUAAAUUAUUUGUUCAUUAGUGCAAAGUGCAAUGUUCUGUAUGGGAAGACAAGAAAAUUCACAUUCCUAACAGAGUACCAUCCACAAACUCCCUAGAGACUACAAAAACUAUUAGACGUGUGAAGACACAUGGAAGUAUGACAUGUAUUGUGAGAAAUAACAAAAGAAAAAAUUCAGAGAUGGCACAGAUGUGGGAGUUAGCAAAUGACAUUUUUGAAGAGCUAUUACAAAUAGAUGAAAUCACAGCAGUGUACAUUUUGAGGUCAUAAGGAAGUCAUCAAGAAGUCAUAGUAAUCCUCUUUCAUUUACCCUUAUUUGUAGAGUUUCAAGCCACAUGAAGAAAAAUCUGACAGACUCAAAAAAAGUAUUGACAUUCUAUAAUUUAUAAUCAGAUAUUUUAAUAUCCCCUCCCAGUAACUGAUAGAAUAAAUACACUCAAAGAUCAAGAAGAAUAUAAAAGCCUUGAAUAGCAUUAUUAAGCAAUUCAGUCUAAUUAACAUUUAUGGAAUACUCCACCCAGUACCUAUAGAAUGCACAUUCUUUUAAAGUACACAUGUAACAUUCAUCAAGGUAGAUAAUAUACUGAAGAAAGAAAGAAGUCUCAAUAAAUGUAAUAGAAAUGACCUAUGCUUCCAGACUAUACUACACUAAAGCUUCAAAUCAGCACAAAACUGUUGGGAAGAUCUCAAAAUACUUGGAAAUUGAGCAAUACAUUUCUAAAUAACCCAACAUUUAAAAAAGAAAAUAUAAGAAUAAUUAUGAAAUAUUUGGAAC